rnacentral:rRNA from 1 species
GCGUGAGUGAUGAAGGUUUUCGGAUCGUAAAACUCUGUUGUUAGGGAAGAACAAGUACCAGAGUAACUGCUGGUACCUUGACGGUACCUAACCAGAAAGCCACGGCUAACUACGUGCCAGCAGCCGCGGUAAUACGUAGGUGGCAAGCGUUGUCCGGAAUUAUUGGGCGUAAAGCGCGCGCAGGCGGUCCUUUAAGUCUGAUGUGAAAGCCCACGGCUCAACCGUGGAGGGUCAUUGGAAACUGGGGGACUUGAGUACAGAAGAGAAGAGUGGAAUUCCACGUGUAGCGGUGAAAUGCGUAGAGAUGUGGAGGAACACCAGUGGCGAAGGCGACUCUUUGGUCUGUAACUGACGCUGAGGCGCGAAAGCGUGGGGAGCAAACAGGAUUAGAUACCCUGGUAGUCCACGCUGUAAACGAUGAGUGCUAAGUGUUAGAGGGUUUCCGCCCUUUAGUGCUGCAGCUAACGCAUUAAGCACUCCGCCUGGGGAGUACGGCGCAAGGCU